rnacentral:rRNA from 1 species
UGGGGAAUAUUGGGCAAUGGAGGCAACUCUGACCCAGCAACGCCGCGUGAAUGAAGAAGGCCUUCGGGUUGUAAAGUUCUUUAAUGGGGAACGAAGAAAGUGACGGUACCCCAAGAAUAAGCCACGGCUAACUACGUGCCAGCAGCCGCGGUAAUACGUAGGUGGCAAGCGUUGUCCGGAAUGACUGGGCGUAAAGGGAGCGUAGGCGGCGCAACAAGUUAGGAGUGAAAUCCCGGGGCUUAACCCCGGAACUGCUUUUAAAACUGUUGUGCUUGAGUGAUGGAGAGGAAAGCGGAAUUCCUAGUGUAGCGGUGGAAUGCGUAGAUAUUAGGAGGAACACCAGAGGCGAAGGCGGCUUUCUGGACAUUAACUGACGCUGAGGCUCGAAAGCGUGGGGAGCAAACAGG